rnacentral:rRNA from 1 species
CCAAAAAGCUGAUCUGCUCUGGGUAAGUCGGGGCCUAAGGCGAGGACGAGAGUCGUAGCCGAUGGACAACAGGUGGAGAUUCCUGUACUGCGGUAUGACAGAACUGUGGGGACACGUAAGGAAAGCGGAAGCCGGGAAUGGAAAGCCCGGUGCAAGCGGGGUACCAGUCACUCUGGCAAAUCCGGGUGGCAAUGGGAAGCCGUGAUGCGGAGCGAAAUAAAGUAGCGAAGUCCGUGAGCCAUGCGUCAAGAAAAGCCGCUAUCGUUCAUACCGUACCCGUACCGUAAACCGACACAGGUGGAUGAGGAGAGAAUCCUAAGGCCGGCGGAAGAAGCAUUGUCAAGGAACUCGGCAAAAUGGCCCCGUAACUUAGGGAUAAGGGGUGCCUGGGAAACCAGGCCGCAGAGAAUAGGCUCAAGCAACUGUUUAGCAAAAACACAGGUCUAUGCGAAACCGAAAGGUGAGGUAUAUGGCUGACGCCUGCCCGGUGCUGGAAGGUUAAGAGGAGAGGUUAGCGCAAGCGAAGCUUUGAAUUUAAGCCCCAGUAAACGGCGGCCGUAACUAUAACGGUCCUAAGGUAGCGAAAUUCCUUGUCGGGUAAGUUCCGACCCGCACGAAAGGCGUAAUGAUUUGAGCGCUGUCUCGACAAUGCAUCCGGUGAAAUUGAAGUACCAGUGAAGAUGCUGGUUACCUGCGCCAGGACGGAAAGACCCCAUGGAGCUUUACUCCAGUUUGGUACUGGGACUCGGUAUUGCAUGUACAGGAUAGGUGGGAGGCUAGGAGAUAGUAACGCCAGUUAUUAUGGAGCCGCUGUUGGGAUACCACCCUUGCAGUAUUGGGUUUCUAACCAGCCGCCGUGACCCGGCGGUGGGACAGUGCCAGACGGGGAGUUUGACUGGGGCGGUCGCCUCCGAAAGGGUAUCGGAGGCGCCCAAAGGUUCCCUCAGAAUGGACGGAAACCAUUCGAAGAGUGCAAAGGCAGAAGGGAGCUUGACUGCGACACCGACGGGUGGAGCAGGUACGAAAGUAGGGCUUAGUGAUCCGGUGGUAUUAAGUGGGAAUGCCAUCGCUCAACGGAUAAAAGCUACCCUGGGAUAACAGGCUUAUCACUCCCAAGAGUUCACAUCGACGGAGUGGUUUGGCACCUCGAUGUCGGCUCAUCGCAUCCUGGGGCUGUAGUAGGUCCCAAGGGUUGGGCUGUUCGCCCAUUAAAGCGGUACGCGAGCUGGGUUCAGAACGUCGUGAGACAGUUCGGUCCCUAUCCGGCGUGGGCGUAGGAUAUCUGAGAGGAGCUGUCCUUAGUACGAGAGGACCGGGAUGGACGGGCCGCUGGUGCAUCGGUUAGACUGCCAAGUCUACGGCCGAGUAGCCAAGCCCGGAAGGGAUAAACGCUGAAGGCAUCUAAGCGUGAAGCCCCCCUUAAGAUGAGAUAUCCCAUUCGAAAGAAGUAAACCCCCUUGAAGACGACGAGGUAGAUAGGGCAGAGGUGGAAGUGUGGCAACACAUGGAGCUGACUGUUACUAAUCGGGUGAGGGCUUGACCU